AGACUUGCAUGGCUGCAUCUCUCCUCAAGCACGAGCAUCCCUGAGGUUGUAGCAACAAUUUCUAUGUCGUUUUCGUCAAUAACCAGACGCUAUUCCCCUUAUCUACAAGUUUCAGGUGUUUUUGGCAGAUGAGAUUGGCAGCUUUAAGAAGAUGCGUCAUGUAUUUUGAAAUCCAGAGAAAGAUAAUAAGCAAAUCAAUUUUUAAAGAUGAUUUUGUCAACACAUCACGCCAUGAUUCAAAGGAUAAAGCUGCAGCGUGCAAAUGGGUACUCAAAGAAGUGCGUCAGAUCUUGAAAAGUUAAACAGUAGUUGACAGCAGUAUGCCAGUAUAUCGGCCAUUUCAUUUUUAUUGUAUUGGGAAAACGUGUCAUCAUGGUUCCAGCUGGCUGUAGUGUAUGAACAAUUGCGUCGUGUUGAUGUAUGCACAAUAUAAUGUAUUAAAUUUUGAAUGAAAUUGGUUCAUAGCUUUAAUGAAUUGCAAUUUGUUUUUUUA